AGGACAAAAAUUUGAUUUAAUAUUUCCGCAGAUGCCAAGUCUUUGGUUGAAAACGCAAAAUGUAUAAAAUCUCCAAUUUGGUGGGCUAACAAGAUCUCAGUCUUGGGGCAUGUGUUGGCUAUCCAGAGAUUUACUGUAGCAAACACCUGUGAAAGAUAAAGGGGCGAGGUCACGGGAGCAGUUAGAGAGAAAUGUCAGAACCUGCUGCAGCUCUGACACCUGUGAAACGAGAGGGAGGAGGAAGAAGGUUCUGGAGGCAGAACCUCAGAUCGCAAUGCAGCUCUGAGAAAGUCUGAAUCAGGCUGAUGGGGAGUUUCAGAGCAAAGAUCGCCGGGUAGAGGACUCUUGUGUUGGCCAGGAACCGCCAUCUCCCCUAGCCCUGUGGGGCCCAGUCGUUGACUGGGGGCAACCUGGGAAGAGAGUGGCUCCAUGAGAAUGCCGGGACAGAUCUAAUAGAAGCGGCAGCUGACGGUGGCCAGCUAGCUACAUUCCUUGCAGCAAGUUCUGUCUUGAAAGAUUUGAGCAGUGUACUUCCAUAGAGGUCACAGAAGGUGAUAGGAGCCAAAGCAGUCCAGCAGCUCAGAAGAAAUCAUUGAAGAAAGUUGCAGGUACAAGCCCUUAGAAGCAAAGCACCCAGAAGCUGGGGGAUGGAUGCUCAGGACUGGUCUGUUUUCUGGGAAGCCCUCAGGUAUGUACACCGCAAGCUGGGAUAGAGGAAACUACAUGCUUCAUUAUGUGGAAAUACUGAAAAGCAGAGCAAGGAGAAUAUCAAGCUUCAACUCUAACACCCAAAGAACACUUCAACUGCUGUGAAGCCACUUCUGUGAGCAAACUGGAGGGAGUGGUUCUGCCCGUCGAAUCAUAGAAGCCCAAAGCCGCCUGUAAGAAUGUUGGGCUCACGGGCAGCUGAGCUGCUACCUGGCCUUGCGAUGGCGCAUGCGCGGAACAGCAAGAAACGUAACGGAGAGGGAAAAACACGCACCUGAAAUGAAGCAAAGACUUCCGAUAGAUAACUAAUUAGCAUUAACAUUUUAAUUGAAAACUCCUGGAAAACAAUGAAAAUUGAUAGCCCCUGAAUUUACUCUUAUGUAAAGUGUUAAUCAGGGAACUCUGAAGAAGUCUUUUGUUUGUAUUAAUUUUGUUUUUUAAGUACAUGAAUGAAAUCCUCUAAGUUUGACCUCUUACACUAUAUGGUUUUCAUUCUAAAUGUACAAGUAGAAGCUGACUCAUGAAGUUAUAUGUAGCGUCCAUGAAAACAGUGUGUUAGGAGGCUGCCAUCUUAUUAUUUUCAUAUUUAUUUAAAAUGUAUAUAAAUGUAUUUAUUUUUAAAUAUAAAUAUUUUUAUUUAAAUAUAUUUUAAAUGCAUCAAUCCGCAUCCUAACUCGUAGUUCAGAGAGAUGGUACGGAAACAGUUUUGUGUUCGCUCACUUGAACAAGCCACCUCCAAUUCUUCUGGGAAGAAGGCACACAUAAUCAAACACGUAAAUGAAGAAAUGGAUGCUAGCUUAAACAAAAAUAGGCAAUUUGAGCCUGUGCUGACAUCAUAACAAAAUUGAUGUUAUUUUACUCAGGCUUUAUUUUCCGUGGAUCACUGACUCGUCAAAAAUUAUAAGAAACUCUCAAACUUAUAAUAAUUAGGAAAAAUGUGAUUUGUCCUUGCCCUCAGCUCCUUUCAAACUUUGAUUUUAGAAAUAAAUUUGCUUGGCUAUGUCUAUUUAUGAUAUCAUAGAAGAGUUCGAUUUUAUAAAGUUAUGACUAGCACUUGCAUUUGGCAGAAACUCUAAUCCUUAUAACUAGGAAGGGAGAAAAUCUUUUCAAUCCAAACCUCUCUGAAUGUGUGUUUAAUGCCUCUAUCCCGUAAAAAAGCUGCUGCCGUUGUUGAGUCGUUGGUGCAGGACUCAUUCCGGGGCUUUCCUCAGUGUUGGCUUUGAACCAUCUCCAGCCUCUAUCCUGUUGCCUGCACACCGGGACACUUUAUCUGUGCGUGGCUUGGGCUCUGCAGCCGUCUCUGUUCUACCACGGCCCCUCCUGCGAUCUCCAGUGCUCCUCUCUACCCCUGAUGCUGGGCCUGGGCGUCCGGCAUCCCAUCCCUCCUGGCUGGGCCCUUGGUGCUCGGGACCUUCACUAAUCUGGAAGUGGGAAGUGGACAUCUGCAGAGACUGGUCCUCCUAUGCAUGAUAAUUUAGGAAACAGAGCAGAAAUUUGCCAGGCAUUACCAUUUCUAAUGAGUGACUUUCAUGCAAUUAUACUUUUUAAAGAUUAUAUAAAAAGAGACAAAUCGUGUGUCUGAAAGAUUAGCUAAAGUUGUAGUACUUUCCCACUAAAAAGAUUCUCCUAUCACUCUGGAUGGCUUUGAGAAAAGAACUAAAACAAAACAGAUCAUCAUGAAAACUAUCUAUUUCUUGUAGCAAGAGUUCACAUUAGCUUUAAUUCCAUUUUUUUUUGUAGGAAAACAAAAUGAAAACCAGUACAAUAGUGUUGUGUGUGUGGGUUAGUUUCUAAGCAACCCUCAACAAAUCUAGUGCUGCAGACACUAAGUAAUCUUCUUAGACUCUGUUUCUUUGUUUCGAGCUUUGCCAACUCGUCUAGUCCAGGCUCUGUUUCUGCUAGAGAGUCACUGAGACAGUGCAAGGCUGAUGGUGACUCUCUUCUCCUUAAAGCAAAUCUGUAAAAACAACAAUGUCCCCUUUAAACUCACGGGAACAGCCACCAUCAAGCCAGUCCAAAGUUCUGUGCAUGUUCUCUCUUUCCAGAAUGCUCCAUCGCUCUGCUUUGUGGUCCCUAGUUGCCCCCCAUGACCCACCUGAAAGGGCUCCCCUGUGAAAUCUCUCACUUUCCCCUCUCAAGUUGAGCCGAUUCUACUUGAUGCCAUAGCUGUAUACUGCACAUAACUAUUUCUCAC
rnacentral:lncRNA from 1 species